rnacentral:rRNA from 1 species
GCGGCGGACGGGUGAGUAACACGUGGGUAACCUACCUAUAAGACUGGGAUAACUUCGGGAAACCGGAGCUAAUACCGGAUAACAUUUAGAACCGCAUGGUUCUAAAGUGAAAGAUGGUUUUGCUAUCACUUAUAGAUGGACCCGCGCCGUAUUAGCUAGUUGGUAAGGUAACGGCUUACCAAGGCGACGAUACGUAGCCGACCUGAGAGGGUGAUCGGCCACACUGGAACUGAGACACGGUCCAGACUCCUACGGGAGGCAGCAGUAGGGAAUCUUCCGCAAUGGGCGAAAGCCUGACGGAGCAACGCCGCGUGAGUGAUGAAGGGUUUCGGCUCGUAAAACUCUGUUAUUAGGGAAGAACAAAUGUGUAAGUAACUGUGCACAUCUUGACGGUACCUAAUCAGAAAGCCACGGCUAACUACGUGCCAGCAGCCGCGGUAAUACGUAGGUGGCAAGCGUUAUCCGGAAUUAUUGGGCGUAAAGCGCGCGUAGGCGGUUUCUUAAGUCUGAUGUGAAAGCCCACGGCUCAACCGUGGAGGGUCAUUGGAAACUGGGAAACUUGAGUGCAGAGAGGAAGUGG